rnacentral:lncRNA from 1 species
CAGGACUCAACAAAAGAUUCUCAAAGGAAGAAAUGUCCUUAAGGCUCAAGAUGCUAUAUUGUGAAAAACCCCAACCUACACAUGGAGAAGGCCAUAUGAAAGAGAACUAAGCCCCAGCUGAGGUCCCAGGCAAUGGCCAGCACUAUACACAGCAAUGGCCAGCUCUGUGAAUGAGCCCUUUGGGACAUUUUAACCCAAUCAAGCCCCAAAAUUACUGCAGCCACAGCCAAAAUCAUGUGUAGCAGAAGCUUCUUCCAAAUGAGCUCAAUCAACUUGUAGAACUGGGAAAGAUAAUAAAAUGGUUGUUGUUUUAAGCUGUUAAAUUUUAGGGUGGUUUGUUACUAGCAUUA